rnacentral:rRNA from 1 species
GACGAACGCUGGCGGCGUGCUUAACACAUGCAAGUCGAACGGAAAGGCCCUGCUUUUGUGGGGUGCUCGAGUGGCGAACGGGUGAGUAACACGUGAGUAACCUGCCCUUGACUUUGGGAUAACUUCAGGAAACUGGGGCUAAUACCGGAUAGGAGCUCCUGCUGCAUGGUGGGGGUUGGAAAGUUUCGGCGGUUGGGGAUGGACUCGCGGCUUAUCAGCUUGUUGGUGGGGUAGUGGCUUACCAAGGCUUUGACGGGUAGCCGGCCUGAGAGGGUGACCGGCCACAUUGGGACUGAGAUACGGCCCAGACUCCUACGGGAGGCAGCAGUGGGGAAUAUUGCACAAUGGGCGGAAGCCUGAUGCAGCAACGCCGCGUGCGGGAUGACGGCCUUCGGGUUGUAAACCGCUUUCGCCUGUGACGAAGCGUGAGUGACGGUAAUGGGUAAAGAAGCACCGGCUAACUACGUGCCAGCAGCCGCGGUGAUACGUAGGGUGCGAGCGUUGUCCGGAUUUAUUGGGCGUAAAGGGCUCGUAGGUGGUUGAUCGCGUCGGAAGUGUAAUCUUGGGGCUUAACCCUGAGCGUGCUUUCGAUACGGGUUGACUUGAGGAAGGUAGGGGAGAAUGGAAUUCCUGGUGGAGCGGUGGAAUGCGCAGAUAUCAGGAGGAACACCAGUGACGAAGGCGGUUCUCUGGGCCUUUCCUGACGCUGAGGAGCGAAAGCGUGGGGAGCGAACAGGCUUAGAUACCCUGGUAGUCCACGCUGUAAACGGUGGGUACUAGGUGUGGGGUCCAUUCCACGGGUUCCGUGCCGUAGCUAACGCUUUAAGUACCCCGCCUGGGGAGUACGGCCGCAAGGCUAAAACUCAAAGGAAUUGACGGGGCCCCGCACAAGCGGCGGAGCAUGCGGAUUAAUUCGAUGCAACGCGUAGAACCUUACCUGGGUUUGACAUGGAUCGGGAGCGCUCAGAGAUGGGUGUGCCUCUUUUGGGGUCGGUUCACAGGUGGUGCAUGGCUGUCGUCAGCUCGUGUCGUGAGAUGUUGGGUUAAGUCCCGCAACGAGCGCAACCCUUGUUCACUGUUGCCAGCACGUUAUGGUGGGGACUCAGUGGAGACCGCCGGGGUCAACUCGGAGGAAGGUGGGGAUGACGUCAAGUCAUCAUGCCCCUUAUGUCCAGGGCUUCACGCAUGCUACAAUGGCUGGUACAGAGAGUGGCGAGCCUGUGAGGGUGAGCGAAUCUCGGAAAGCCGGUCUCAGUUCGGAUUGGGGUCUGCAACUCGACCUCAUGAAGUCGGAGUCGCUAGUAAUCGCAGAUCAGCAACGCUGCGGUGAAUACGUUCCCGGGGCUUGUACACACCGCCCGUCAAGUCAUGAAAGUUGGUAACACCCGAAGCCGGUGGCCUAACCGUUGUGGGGGAGCCGUCGAAGGUGGGACUGGUGAUUAGGACU